CCUACGGGUGGCAGCAGUGAGGAAUAUUGGUCAAUGGGCGAAAGCCUGACGCAGCGACGCCGCGUGAGGGAUGAAGGUCUUCGGAUCGUAAAACUCUGUCAGCAGGGAAGAACGGUCACUGUGCUAAUCAGCAGUGAAUUGACGGUACCCGCAAAGGAAGCACCGGCUAACUCCGUGCUAGCAGCCGCGGUAAUACGGAGGGGGCGAGCGUUAAUCGGAAUUACUGGGCGUAAAGAGCUCGUAGGCGGUAUGGCAAGUCAAGGGUGAAAUCCCCGCGCUCAACGUGGGAACGGCCUUUGAAACUGGCAAACUGGAGUGUGUGAGAGGAUAGCGGAAUUCCAGGUGUAGGAGUGAAAUCCGUAGAUAUCUGGAGGAACAUCAGUGGCGAAGGCGACUAUCUGGCACAUAACUGACGCUGAGGAGCGAAAGCGUGGGUAGCAAACAGGAUUAGAUACCCCAGUAGUC
rnacentral:rRNA from 1 species